rnacentral:rRNA from 1 species
AGCGAACGCUGACGGCGGGCCUAACACAUGCAAGUCGAACGUGAAAGGGAGCAAUCCUGAGUAAAGUGGCGUACGGGUGAGUAACACGUGAGUAAUCUACCCAAGAAUCUGGAAUAACCUGCCGAAAGGCGGGCUAAUACUAGAUAGAGCGCAGGACACGUAAGGUGUUUUGCGGGAAAGCAGGGGAUCUGUGAGGACCUUGCGUUUUUGGAUGAGCUCGCGUCCCAUUAGCUAGUUGGUAGGGUAACGGCCUACCAAGGCGAUGAUGGGUAGCUGGUCUGAGAGGAUGAUCAGCCACACUGGGACUGAAACACGGCCCAGACUCCUACGGGAGGCAGCAGUGGGGAAUCUUGCGCAAUGGACGAAAGUCUGACGCAGCCACGCCGUGUGAGUGAAGAAGGCCU